UACGGGGGGAGCAAGCGUUGUUCGGAUUUACUGGGCGUAAAGGGCGCGUAGGCGGCCACGACAAGUCACUUGUGAAAUCUCCGGGCUUAACUCGGAACGGUCAAGUGAUACUGUCGGGCUAGAGUGCGGAGGGGGCAACUGGAAUUCUCGGUGUAGCGGUGAAAUGCGUAGAUAUCGAGAGGAACACCUGCGGCGAAGGCGGGUUGCUGGGCCGACACUGACGCUGAGGCGCGAAAGCUAGGGGAGCGAACGGG
rnacentral:rRNA from 1 species